GAUGAACGCUGGCGGCGUGCUUAACACAUGCAAGUCGAACGGUGAAGGCGGAGCUUGCUCUGCUGGAUCAGUGGCGAACGGGUGAGUAACACGUGAGCAAUCUGCCCCUGACUCUGGGAUAAGCGCUGGAAACGGCGUCUAAUACUGGAUACGAGCUGCGAAGGCAUCUUCAGCAGCUGGAAAGAAUUUCGGUCAGGGAUGAGCUCGCGGCCUAUCAGCUUGUUGGUGAGGUAAUGGCUCACCAAGGCGUCGACGGGUAGCCGGCCUGAGAGGGUGACCGGCCAAAAUGGGACUGAGAAACGGGCCAGAAUUCUAAGGGAGGCAGCAGUGGGGAAUAUUGCACAAUGGGCGAAAGCCUGAUGCAGCAACGCCGCGUGAGGGACGACGGCCUUCGGGUUGUAAACCUCUUUUAGCAGGGAAGAAGCGAAAGUGACGGUACCUGCAGAAAAAGCGCCGGCUAACUACGUG
rnacentral:rRNA from 1 species